rnacentral:rRNA from 1 species
CCUACGUGAGGCAGCAGUGGGGAAUAUUGGGCAAUGGGCGCAAGCCUGACCCAGCAACGCCGCGUGAAGGAAGAAGGCUUUCGGGUUGUAAACUUCUUUUCUCAGGGACGAAGCAAGUGACGGUUCCUGCGGAAUAAGCCACGGCUAACUACGUGCCAGCAGCCGCGGUAAUACGUAGGUGGCAAGCGUUAUCCGGAUUUACUGGGUGUAAAGGGCGUGUAGGCGGGACUGCAAGUCAGAUGUGAAACCCACGGGCUCAACCCGUGGCAUGCAUUUGAAACUGUAGUGCUUGAGUACUGGGGAGGCAGACGGAAUUCCUAGUGGAGCGGUGAAAUGCGUAGAUAUUAGGAGGAACACCAGUGGCGAAGGCGGUCUACUGGACGGUGACUGACGCUGAGGCUCGAAAGCGUGGGGAGCAAACAGGAUUAGAUACCCGUGUAGUC